ensembl:lncRNA
CACACCUCUAAACCGCCUGGCUCGUGCACGCAUGGGCUCAAAACCAGCGGGUUUUUACGCAAAGGUCGGCGUGAGGAGGCGCGCGCGCACUCCAGUUAUCUGUCACCACCGGCGGCACGUGCGGCUUGGGCAGCGGCUGAUAAAUAUCUUGCGCAGGCGCCGUUUAGGGGCUCGUGGGAGUUUUAUAAUGCAGUAACACCGGAAUAUUUCGGCUACACGGGAACACAAACCGGAGGGAUUACUGUCCUCGUGCUCAUCCCGGUGGAAAGCGCGAGACUGAGGAAACUGACGGACUUACAGGUGAGCGCUUCAUCACAUACCGUCAACAACACCGACUGCGUCCCAAACACCUCCAGCACUCCACUCAGCACCACCGCCUGGGCUCGGUUUAAACAAACUGUCAGUACUGAGUGGAGGAUUGGGAUGUAACCUUCUCUAAUCGGUUGUUAGGCAACAACGGCUGUCCGUCACCCUAAAAAUAGCUUCACUCCUACUCGCCAGGCUUUAUCAUUUAAUUCUCACCAUCUGUACUCGAAUGUCAUCUAACAUCGUCCUUCAUUAAUCCAUAGAAAUCUAGAUUCACCUGUUAUUUUCACCCGUUUUUACACCUGAGACAUUCGGAUGGUCGCGAGGAGCUUUUCAAUUUAAACUCUAACCGACAUUUCUACUGUAUAACGGACACUACAGCUCGGUUAUAACGGACACUACAGCUCGGUUAUAACGGACAUUACAGCUCGGUUAUAACGGACACUACAGCUCGGUUAUAACGGACACUACAGCUCAGUUAUAACGGACAUUACAGCUCAGUUAUAACGGACACUUAUAUAGUUCUCCAGUCAGCAAAUGUUAUGCAUAAAUAGAGAUUCAGAACUUUAAUGUUUGUCUAAAGCAAGUAAUUUUCAUUCAAACCUAUAGAGUAUAACAUAUAUAUAAAAAAUCUAUAGAAGAUACAGUAUAUAAAUAAAACUUACAAAAGAUACAGUAUAAAUAAAACCUAUAAAAAGAUACAGUAUAUAAAUAAAACCUAAUAGAAAUACAGUAUAUAUAUAAAAUAUGUAGAA